rnacentral:rRNA from 1 species
GGGGAGCGAAGCUUGCUUUGCUCCGCCGGCGACCGGCGCACGGGUGAGUAACGCGUAUGCAACCUGCCCGUUUCAGCGGGAUAACCCGGAGAAAUCCGGCCUAAUACCGCAUGUGGCCGAGGGAAGGCAUCUUCUUUCGGCCAAAGGAGGCGACUCCGGAGACGGAUGGGCAUGCGUGACAUUAGCUUGUUGGCGGGGUAACGGCCCACCAAGGCGACGAUGUCUAGGGGUUCUGAGAGGAAGGUCCCCCACACUGGUACUGAGACACGGACCAGACUCCUACGGGAGGCAGCAGUGAGGAAUAUUGGUCAAUGGGCGAGAGCCUGAACCAGCCAAGUCGCGUGAAGGAUGACGGCCCUACGGGUUGUAAACUUCUUUUGUCAGGGAGCAAUUGAGUCCACGUGUGGGCUUAGCGAGAGUACCUGAAGAAAAAGCAUCGGCUAACUCCGUGCCAGCAGCCGCGGUAAUACGGAGGAUGCGAGCGUUAUCCGGAUUUAUUGGGUUUAAAGGGUGCGUAGGCGGAAUAUCAAGUCAGCGGUAAAAAUUCGGGGCUCAACCCCGUCGUGCCGUUGAAACUGAUGUUCUUGAGUGGGCGAGAAGUAUGCGGAAUGCGUGGUGUAGCGGUGAAAUGCAUAGAUAUCACGCAGAACUCCGAUUGCGAAGGCAGCAUACCGGCGCCCAACUGACGCUGAAGCACGAAAGCGUGGGUAUCGAACAGGAUUAGAUACCCUGGUAGUCCACGCAGUAAACGAUGAAUGCUAAUUGUCCGGAGGGAUUGACCUCUGGGUGAUACAGCGAAAGCGUUAAGCAUUCCACCUGGGGAGUACU